GAUGAAGAACGCAGCGAAAUGCGAUAAGUAAUGUGAAUUGCAGAAUUCAGUGAAUCAUCGAAUCUUUGAACGCACAUUGCGCCCGCCAGUAUUCUGGCGGGCAUGCCUGUUCGAGCGUCAUUACAACCCUCAGGCCCCCGGGCCUGGCGUUGGGGAUCGGCGGAAGCCCCCUGCGGGCACAACGCCGUCCCCCAAAUACAGUGGCGGUCCCGCCGCAGCUUCCAUUGCGUAGUAGCUAACACCUCGCAACUGGAGAGCGGCGCGGCCACGCCGUAAAACACCCAACUUCUGAAUGUUGACCUCGAAUCAGUUAGGAAUACCCGCUGAACUUAAGCAUAUCAAUAAGCGGAGGA
rnacentral:misc_RNA from 1 species